rnacentral:lncRNA from 1 species
UAUGAGGAGGUGUUCUUCCUGUUUCAGAACUGAAGGAAAAGCUGAACAGGCGGUCUUUGGAAAGGACAGAAGCCAGGAUAGUUCCAGCAUCCAGGCAGCAGACACCAAUGGUCAGUGCUUCUACUUUGGAUCAAAAAGAGAGAACUCCAAUAGGCUUAGGGUGGGUCAGGUGCUCACACUCAUCUGAGGAAGGGGAGGGUCCCUUGAGGAAUAGUACCAUAGACUACCCAAUGUUGGAGGAUAAUGGCCCCAACGCAAAAAUGGGAUCUUGCCACCAGACAAAUGGGAUAUAGAUGCCAGGCUGCAAAAUCCAACAAAUGUACACGUGCCCAAAUCCCGACUCCAUCACUAAUAGCCAUGCAAUCCUCUGACUAUCAAUUAGAUUAAUUGACACUCUUU